GGGCGCGUGGUACAGUGGUAGCACGCUUCCUUAGCAUCUUUAUUGACUUAUGAUGCUUGGAAGAGGUCCUGGGUUCAAUUCCCAGCGCGUCCA
rfam:Fistulina hepatica ATCC 64428 unplaced genomic scaffold FISHEscaffold_97, whole genome shotgun sequence.